rnacentral:rRNA from 1 species
AGAGUUUGAUCCUGGCUCAGGAUGAACGCUAGCUACAGGCUUAACACAUGCAAGUCGAGGGGAAACGACAUUGGAAGCUUGCUUCCGAUGGGCGUCGACCGGCGCACGGGUGAGUAACGCGUAUCCAACCUGCCCAUCACUUGGGGAUAACCUUGCGAAAGUAAGACUAAUACCCAAUGACGUCUCUAGAAGACAUCUGAAAGAGAUUAAAGAUUUAUCGGUGAUGGAUGGGGAUGCGUCUGAUUAGCUUGUUGGCGGGGUAACGGCCCACCAAGGCGACGAUCAGUAGGGGUUCUGAGAGGAAGGUCCCCCACAUUGGAACUGAGACACGGUCCAAACUCCUACGGGAGGCAGCAGUGAGGAAUAUUGGUCAAUGGACGAGAGUCUGAACCAGCCAAGUAGCGUGCAGGAUGACGGCCCUAUGGGUUGUAAACUGCUUUUAUAAGGGAAUAAAGUGAGAGUCGUGACUCUUUUUGCAUGUACCUUAUGAAUAAGGACCGGCUAAUUCCGUGCCAGCAGCCGCGGUAAUACGGAAGGUCCGGGCGUUAUCCGGAUUUAUUGGGUUUAAAGGGAGCGUAGGCCGGAGAUUAAGCGUGUUGUGAAAUGUAGACGCUCAACGUCUGCACUGCAGCGCGAACUGGUUUCCUUGAGUACGCACAAAGUGGGCGGAAUUCGUGGUGUAGCGGUGAAAUGCUUAGAUAUCACGAAGAACUCCGAUUGCGAAGGCAGCUCACUGGAGCGCAACUGACGCUGAAGCUCGAAAGUGCGGGUAUCGAACAGGAUUAGAUACCCUGGUAGUCCGCACGGUAAACGAUGGAUGCCCGCUGUUGGUCUGAAUAGGUCAGCGGCCAAGCGAAAGCAUUAAGCAUCCCACCUGGGGAGUACGCCGGCAACGGUGAAACUCAAAGGAAUUGACGG